rnacentral:lncRNA from 1 species
GAGCAAUACGCCAUUCUUGGGGAAAGAGCGACACCUACCGCAUCAUAACCGUUCUGCAACUGACCGGGCAAACCAGAAGGCUUCAAACGUCAAUCACGCUUCAGAGGAGUCCAGCGUGGGGGUACGAAGCCUUUUGUUGGUGUCUCAAGUCUGUUUCUCAAGCUGCCAGCUAAGAAAAGAUGCACAGAGAGCUCAUUCAACUCUACCCCGUCUACAGCCAGUUCUGCUCUCUCAAGCUAUCGGCCAGUUCACAAGAACUGAACAUGAAUUCAGGGGACUCAUGUGGCUCCCAGCAAAGGGCAGAAGAGUCUCUGGUUCCUAUGAUCACUGAGAAGCUCGUCAUCUGAGCCCACACAAAGGAUAGGCAGCUCCAUCCUUCCACACCAAAG